rnacentral:lncRNA from 1 species
GUGUGUAUAUAAAAGUAGGUAUGGGGUUAAACAUCAAUGAAAUUUCUUUCUCUGCCUGCAUUUUCUGUUUUUUACUUGAGUCAUCAAAUAUUAUUUUCAUUCCUUUUGUCUUGAUUACCUGGUGCAUCUGUUUUUAGCAGGUUUUAUCCAUCUUGAUAGAAACUCAGUCGAGAAAAAUUAAAAUGACACCUCCCAUGGAUAAGGCAUAAAUCCUAAUAGAAGAUUACUGGUCAAUGGACUAAGAUAACGUAAUGUUUAUG